GAUGAACGCUGGCGGCGUGCCUAAUACAUGCAAGUCGAGCGAACAGAUGAGGAGCUUGCUCCUCUGACGUUAGCGGCGGACGGGUGAGUAACACGUGGAUAACCUACCUAUAAGACUGGGAUAACUUCGGGAAACCGGAGCUAAUACCGGAUAAUAUAUUGAACCGCAUGGUUCAAUAGUGAAAGACGGUUUUGCUGUCACUUAUAGAUGGAUCCGCGCCGCAUUAGCUAGUUGGUAAGGUAACGGCUUACCAAGGCAACGAUGCGUAGCCGACCUGAGAGGGUGUAGGGCCACACAGGAGCUGAGACACGGCCCAGACUCCGACGGGAGGCAGAGGUAGCGAAUCUUCCGAACAGGCGAAAACCUGACGGAGCAACGCCGCGUGAGUGAUGAAGGUCUUCGGAUCGUAAAACUCGGUUAUUAGGGAAGAACAAAUGUGUAAGUAACUAUGCACGUCUUGACGGUACCUAAUCAGAAAGCCACGGCUAACUACGUG
rnacentral:rRNA from 1 species